AGAAAGUCCGUUGGAACCGUCUGCUGCACCCUGGUCUCUGGAGAUGAGGCAGGAGGGCUUGGGGACAGCUGGGGACACGGCCCAGAUGAUCCGGUCCCGGCAGAAGUGACUGGCGGGGACCAGGAUGCUGGAGGGUCAGCUCGAGGCCGGGGAGCCCAAGGAGGGCACCCACCCAGAGGACCCGUGCCCGGGAGCUGGGGCUGCCAUGGAGAAGACACCUGCAGCAGCCGAGGUCCCCAGGGAGGACGGCAAUGCCGGGGAGAUGCCGUCAUUACAGCAGCAGAUCACCAGACUCCACCAAGAGCUCGGGAGACAGCAGUCGCUGUGGGCUGAUGUUCACAGAAAACUCCAGAGUCAUAUGGAUGCCUUGAGGAAGCAGAACCGGGAGCUCCGAGAAGAGCUGAGAGAUCUGCAGCGGCAGCAGUGGGAAGCCGGGAAGAAACCAGCAGCGUCCCCACACGCGGGGCGAGAAUCACACACUCUGGCAUUGGAAUCUGCUUUUGGAAAAAUUUCACCUCUGUCAGCUGAUGAAGAGACAACGCCCAAAUACGCUGGCCGCAAGAGUCAGAGUGCCACUCUCCUGGGACAAAGAUCGUCAUCUAACCACUUAGCUCCUCCAAAGGUGACCCUUCGUGCUUAUCGUCUGUAAAGAGCAGCAGAGCUUCUGUAUGCAAACACACACAUCCCAUCAGCUCCUCACCACACAGUUUCACCUCCCUGGGUGAGCGUGGUGCUCCCUGGAGUCCUGCGUUUUUCCAAGGACAUGGGUGCAUGCCUUUCAAACAAGAUCCUAAACCACAGCACUUCCUGCUGUAGGGCAGAUUCCAAGUCCUCCCAGCUGCUUCCCUCUGAGUGCACUCACGGCAGCAAGUGUCUGGCUGGGGCCGAGUGGACUCGGGGGCUUUGUUUCCGUGGGUGCCACCCACGGAGGUGAUAUGCGUGGCGCUCUCGCCACGCGCCAUGGCCCGUGCGUCUGGGGGCUCGCAGCCUCCCACAAUCCCUGCUUCUGCACUGCGGUCUUGCACCUGCUGCUUGUCAGCGUGGACUCCUCUGAACAGGGGCUGUGCUGCUUGCUUGGGGGCCAUGGUGCAGGAUGCUAUUUUGUCUCCAUCACAUUUUUCCUUGUUAAAAUUAGCUCCUCUUUAGAACAUUCUGCUGGCCAGUGUGUCUCUUCCCGUCCCAGCUUUGUGUCACCCUCACACUCAGGAGGCAAAUCUCAUGAGUCCUGAGCGAGCAACUGAUACUGGGUCGAUGUGGAUGGAGAAGACUGCCCCCCAACUCCUGAAGAUGAUUUAUCCCCUCACUUCUUUCCCAAAGCAACUGCUGAGCAGAUAACACUUUAUUCCCUGAAGGAAGAUCAGAAAUCUACUCCAAGCGUUUGUCACAAGUAGGAAAAUAGUCCUUUCAGAUCCUAUGAGUACAAAACAUCGAAAGUCCCAGGACAGACUGCAUAGGUCCAGCCUCCUGUGAGACGCGGACUUCUCUCACGCUUCUGCAUUGACCUGAGUUAAUCACACGCGUGCCGGGCAAUGUACGAGUAAAUAGAUAACUGAAUGGGUGGCUUAUCCACGCCUCCAAACCCUGAAUUUUUAAACAGCAGAAAAGUAGAACAUUAUUUUCAUUAUGCAUUUUUGAAUUGAGUUUCAAGUACUUUAUUUCACUGUUGACUAUUCUACAAUGUCAGCCAUACCGUCCCUGAAUUCCUCAAGAGCGUGGCUGUAAAAUGGGGAAUGAGAGCAUGGAUGCCUCGUGUGUCCUUCUGUAGGAAGCGGGGGUAGAAUCCUCUAGAUUCUGUGGUAGCUGGUGUGAUGUGUUGCUUAACAUUUUAAAAUAAUAUGAUGGUUACUAAUGCAACCACAUUUAUUUUCAGCCAAUGAGUUUAAAGACAGAAAGAAUUAACUCGGGGAAAACAUCACCACAGGAAGACAGAGAGAAAAGUCCUCCCGGGAGACGUCAAGACAGAAGUCCAGCACCCACUGGAAGGCCGACUCCCGGUGCAGAAAGACGGGGGGUGUCUGAAGACGGAAAGGUUAUGCAUCCAUCUUCCCGAAGUCCGCAAAACUCCAGUGGCAGAAAAUCACCAGUGCAGGCUUCCCAGGCCCCCACGCUGCAGAAGCAGACGGCAGCAGCCGGAGGAGCUGACAGAAGCUCAUCAGUCUUAGGGAGUUCUGAAGGCGGAUUUCUCAGCCGCGUUCAAGCUGACGAGUUCGCCAGUUCUUCCCCAGACAGUGCAGAGCGGCAGGUAGGUGGCUGAGUGGCUUCUGUGAGGGCGGCCCACCCGGUUCCCCUCAGGGAGACCUGAGAAGGUGACCUUUUCGUCCUGGGGAAGUGAGAUUCAGAGCGGGCGUCACGAGAUGGUUGCAUCUUCCCAUCUUCUCAACAAGAACAGAAAAUUAAGAUGAUUCCAAAUAUCUCUUUAUUUCCUGAAGCUCAGCCUUUCAAACAGAGACUUUUUUUUAAUAGAUUUAAGUUGGUUGCAUUUAGCACAUAGUCAAACAAGAUUAAUGUUUUUUAUGACUUAAGAGUUCCCCUAGUCAGAGUUUCAUUUUUAUCAUUUUGAUUUACAGUUCUCAGUUGACAUUAAUAGACUCGAAGGCAAGAAUAGCAAACAUACUUCUAAGCCCUAGCUAGGGCCCACUUGUAACAUGCUAUAUUUUACAAAAAAAAAAAAAGGUCAAUAAAAUGAAAUUAUUUUCUCUACGCCA
rnacentral:sRNA from 1 species